UGUAUACACUACCCGUACCGCAAACCGACACAGGUAGUCGAGGCGAGUAGCCUCAGGUGAGCGAGAGAACUCUCGUUAAGGAACUCGGCAAAAUGACCCCGUAACUUCGGGAGAAGGGGUGCUGACUUUUAGUCAGCCGCAGUGAAUAGGCCCAAGCAACUGUUUAUCAAAAACACAGCUCUCUGCUAAAUCGUAAGAUGAUGUAUAGGGGGUGACGCCUGCCCGGUGCUGGAAGGUUAAGAGGAGGGUUUAGCGUAAGCGAAGAUCUGAAUUGAAGCCCCAGUAAACGGCGGCCGUAACAAUAACGGUCCUAAGGUAGCGAAAUUCCUUGUCGGGUAAGUUCCGACCCGCACGAAAGGCGUAAUGAUUUGGGCACUGUCUCAACGAGAGACUCGGUGAAAUUUUAGUACUUGUGAAGAUGCAGGUUACCCGCGACAGGACGGAAAGACCCCAUGGAGCUUUACUGCAGUUUGAUAUUGAGUAUCUGUACCACAUGUACAGGAUAGGUAGGAGCCUAUGAAAUCGGGACGCCAGUUUCGAUUGAGGCGCUGUUGGGAUACUACCCUUGUGUUAUGGCUACUCUAACCCGGUAGGUUAAUCAUCUACGGAGACAGUGUCUGACGGGCAGUUUGACUGGGGCGGUCGCCUCCUAAAAGGUAACGGAGGCGCCCAAAGGUUCCCUCAGAAUGGUUGGAAAUCAUUCGCAGAGUGUAAAGGUAUAAGGGAGCUUGACUGCGAGAGCUACAACUCGAGCAGGGACGAAAGUCGGGCUUAGUGAUCCGGUGGUUCCGUAUGGAAGGGCCAUCGCUCAACGGAUAAAAGCUACCCUGGGGAUAACAGGCUUAUCUCCCCCAAGAGUUCACAUCGACGGGGAGGUUUGGCACCUCGAUGUCGGCUCGUCGCAUCCUGGGGCUGUAGUCGGUCCCAAGGGUUGGGCUGUUCGCCCAUUAAAGCGGCACGCGAGCUGGGUUCAGAAAGUCGUGAGACAGUUCGGUCCCUAUCCGUCGCGGGCGUAGGAAAUUUGAGAGGAUCUGCUCCUAGUACGAGAGGACCAGAGUGGACUUACCGCUGGUGUACCAGUUGUCUCGCCAGAGGCAUCGCUGGGUAGCUAUGUAGGGAAGGGAUAAACGCUGAAAGCAUCUAAGUGUGAAACCCACCUCAAGAUGAGAUUUCCCAUAACAUUAAGUUAGUAAGAGCCCUGAGAGAAGAUCAGGUAGAUAGGUUGGAAGUGGAAGUGUGGCGACACAUGUAGCGGACCAAUACUAAUCGCUCGAGGACUUAUCCU
rnacentral:rRNA from 1 species